rnacentral:rRNA from 1 species
UACAGAGGUCUCAAGCGUUUGUUCGGAUUCAUUGGGCGUAAGGGUGCGUAGGUGGCGCCGUAAGUCAGGUGUGAAAUUUCGGAGCUUAACUCCGAAACUGCAUUUGAUACUGCGGUGCUUGAGGACUGGAGAGGAGACUGGAAUUUACGGUGUAGCAGUGAAAUGCGUAGAGAUCGUAAGGAAGACCAGUGGCGAAGGCGGGUCUCUGGACAGUUCCUGACACUGAGGCACGAAGGCCAGGGGAGCAAACGGG